AAUGAACGCUAGCUACAGGCUUAACACAUGCAAGUCGAGGGACCGGCGCACGGGGGAGUAACACGUAUACCACCUGCCCUUUACUCGGGGAUAGCCUUUCGAAAGAACGAUUAAUACCCGAUAUAAAGGACGGGGAUGCGUUCAAUUAGGUUGUUGGUGAGGUAAAGGCCCACCAAGCCUUCGAUGGAUAGGGGUGCUGAGAGGAAGGUCCCCCACAUUGGAACUGAGACAAGGUCCAAACUCCUACGGGAGGCAGCAGUGUGGAGUAUUGGGCAAUGAGCGUUAGCCUGAACCAGCCACGUAGCGUGAAGGAGGAGUGCUUAUGGGUCGUAAACUUCUUGUAUAGAAGAAUAGGUAUUAUAUGAAUAAGGAUCGGCUAACUCCGUGCCAGCAGCCGCGGUAAUUC
rnacentral:rRNA from 1 species